AAAGUACUCCCUCCGUCCCAAAAUUCUUGUCUUAGAUUUGUCUAGAUACGGAUGUAUCAAGUCACAGAUACAUCCGUAUCUAGACAAAUCUAAGACAAGAAAUUUUGGACAGAGGGAGUAGUUG
rnacentral:pre_miRNA from 1 species